UACAGAGGGUGCGAGCGUUAAUCGGAAUUACUGGGCGUAAAGCGCGCGUAGGCGGCUAUACAAGUCGAGUGUGAAAUCCCCGGGCUCAACCUGGGAACUGCAUUCGAGACUGUAUGGCUUGAGUAUGGGAGAGGGAGGCGGAAUUUCAGGUGUAGCGGUGAAAUGCGUAGAUAUCUGAAGGAACAUCAGUGGCGAAAGCGGCCUCCUGGACCAAUACUGACGCUCAUGUGCGAAAGCGUGGGGAGCAAACAGG
rnacentral:rRNA from 2 species